AGAGUUUGAUCCUGGCUCAGAUUGAACGCUGGCGGCAUGCCUUACACAUGCAAGUCGAACGGCAGCACGGGAGCAAUCCUGGUGGCGAGUGGCGAACGGGUGAGUAACAUAUCGGAACGUGCCCGGUAGUGGGGGAUAACCCGGCGAAAGUCGGACUAAUACCGCAUACGACCUACGGGUGAAAGCGGGGGAUCGCAAGACCUCGCGCUAUUGGAGCGGCCGAUAUCAGAUUAGCUAGUUGGUGGGGUAAAGGCCUACCAAGGCGACGAUCUGUAGCUGGUCUGAGAGGACGACCAGCCACACUGGGACUGAGACACGGCCCAGACUCCUACGGGAGGCAGCAGUGGGGAAUUUUGGACAAUGGGCGCAAGCCUGAUCCAGCCAUGCCGCGUGCGGGAAGAAGGCCUUCGGGUUGUAAACCGCUUUUGUCAGGGAAGAAACGGUUUGGGUUAAUACCUCGAACUAAUGACGGUACCUGAAGAAUAAGCACCGGCUAACUACGUGCCAGCAGCCGCGGUAAUACGUAGGGUGCAAGCGUUAAUCGGAAUUACUGGGCGUAAAGCGUGCGCAGGCGGUCAUGCAAGACAGAUGUGAAAUCCCCGGGCUCAACCUGGGAACUGCAUUUGUGACUGCAUGACUUGAGUACGGCAGAGGGGGAUGGAAUUCCGCGUGUAGCAGUGAAAUGCGUAGAUAUGCGGAGGAACACCGAUGGCGAAGCAAUCCCCUGGGCCUGUACUGACGCUCAUGCACG
rnacentral:rRNA from 1 species